rnacentral:lncRNA from 1 species
CCAUCUGCAGGCCCAGGGAGGUGCUGAGGAGAGAAGGGAAGAUUGUUGCCUGGUUCCCAAAGAGGUAGUGAGGCCAGCAGGGGGUUGGGGGAAGCAGGAGCCAUGGGUCCCCUUGCUGUUCCCCAGAGCACCCACCAUCAACACCUUCCAUCUCCCCAGAGUGAGAGGUGACCCUGGGAGGAAGGGCAGGAGGGAAAGAACCACCUGGAUGGCUAACAACUGACAUCUCACCUCUGCCUGUGGCCAAGAAACCACCCCCAGCAGACAGAGGGGGCUUGGCUCUGCCCUCCCCAGACCCAGGUGUCCUUUCUACCUGAGGGCCCUGGAGCACAGUGGUGAGCACUGAACCCUCAGCAUGGGGCCCCAAGUCGAGGGUGGAGAGUUGGCUGACAGUGGGGUAUGCAGUGAGCCCCACCCCCACCCCAUGUGGUCACCUGCCUGGAAGGGCAGGGCCUGGAGGUGGGGAGCCCAGUAGGCCUCAGCCGGUAACGGUCUCUCCACUCCCAGCACUGCAGCACUCCGGAAAAUCGGCUGUUUCCAUGACAACUGUAAUACCCAGGGUCCUCCUCCCCCCUCCACACAAGAUGCACAUCUGAAUUUGGGGGGUGUGGCGGGCCAGGGCAGCACAGAUGCUGACCUUCCUCCACACACAUUCCUACCCUCACCUUCCUGAUCAGAGGCUGCAGCCUCUUCACCCCUGGGCUCCAGGGCCUCCCAUUCAGAGAAGGCUUUAUUGGGUUUCUUGGUCCCUCAGACCAGGGAAGGAAACCAAGUCUACCUGCAGGCUGCCUCCAAAUCCCCCAGGUCUAGGAGAAAAGAGGCCCUUUCUCUUCACUUCCCACCCCAGAUCCCAGACAGCAAGCACAUCACCAUGGACAAGCGCCCAAGCCCCAGGCCCCACACCCA